rnacentral:rRNA from 1 species
UACAGAGGUCCCAAGCGUUGUUCGGAUUCACUGGGCGUAAAGGGUGCGUAGGUGGUCGGAUAAGUCUGUCGUGAAAUCUCCGAGCCCAACUCGGAAACUGCGUCGGAUACUAUUCGGCUAGAGGGUUGGAGGGGGGACUGGAAUUCUCGGUGUAGCAGUGAAAUGCGUAGAUAUCGAGAGGAACACCAGUGGCGAAGGCGAGUCCCUGGACAACUCCUGACGCUGAGGCACGAAAGCUAGGGGAGCAAACAGG